UCAUAAAAUCAUCACCGCA
rnacentral:snRNA from 1 species